rnacentral:rRNA from 1 species
UACGUAGGUGGCAAGCGUUGUCCGGAAUUAUUGGGCGUAAAGCGCGCGCAGGCGGCCUCUUAAGUCUGAUGUGAAAAGCCCCCCGGCUCAACCCGGGGGAGGGCCAUUGGAAACUGGGAGGCUUGAGUAUAGGAGAGAAGAGUGGAAUUCCACGUGUAGCGGUGAAAUGCGUAGAGAUGUGGGAGGAACACCAGUGGCGAAGGCGACUCUUUGGCCUAUAACUGACGCUGAGGCGCGAAAGCGUGGGGAGCAAACAGG